UACAGAGGGUGCAAGCGUUGUUCGGAAUUAUUGGGCGUAAAGGGAGUGUAGGCGGCACUGAAAGUCUUCUGUGAAAUCUACGGGCUUACCCCGUAACGUGCAGAGGAUACUUCAGAGCUAGAGUGUCGGAGAGGAUAGUGGAAUUCCAGGUGUAGAGGUGAAAUUCGUAGAGAUCUGGAGGAACACCAGUGGCGAAGGCGACUAUCUGGCUGACAACUGACGCUGAGACUCGAAAGCAUGGGGAGCAAACAGG
rnacentral:rRNA from 1 species